rnacentral:lncRNA from 1 species
GAUUUGUAGAGCACUCCCUGCAUUAAGAUCGCUACUGCAAUUUGCGCGGAGCCAUGCGAAGCUGCCGGCCACUCCCCGACGGCGAUCCUCCACGAUCUGAUCCAACCACUGCCGUCGAGGCUCAAUUCGCUGCUGCAUUACCACAUGAUGAUCCAGGGAAGCGCUCGGAAUAAGUUUGCCCAUGCAACGUUUUUAAGGUACCUAAAAAUAAUCCACGUUGCUAAUUGAUUGAGUUCUCAGCGAUGCUGUUGUGUCUGUGUGUCUUUGAUAUCAAAAACAUGAGCGGGAAGAAGGUUCCUGCGUUAAUUGGAUUGUCAACAAGAAGGUUUCUGCGUUAGCUCAUAGUCUGCUGUUUAGGCAAUUUUGUUGCCACUUGUAAGCAAUGAAAUAGUUGCUUUUUUCUUUCAAAAAUAAAAAUCUGAAAAGAUGAACUAAUACGUCCCCUUUUCCUACUACCAAAUCCGUUCUUGGUAUUGCUCUAAAUGCACGGAGGAUUCCCAGAAGACAGGCAAUUGUGUUUUGGUAAUUUUGUCGCCACUUAAUUGGUAAGUAAUGUAAUAGCUGGUUUUCCUUUCAAAAGUAAAAAUCUGAAAAGAAGAACUAAUGCGUCCCCUCUUCCUUGUACCAAAUCCGUUUCUGAUACUGCUCUAAAUGAGCCAUCGCAUUCUCCUCUAUUUAAAGGCCAAUCUCCCUCCUCUCACAUGCACAGAAAAGAAUACACAUCGGAAACCAUGGCAUCCCGCUGCUCCACGAUGAUGCUCGCUCUCCUUGUCUUCUCCCUCGUCAUCAUGACUACUCAGUCUACCA